CCGGAGCCCGGCCGGAGCCCGGCCGGAGCCCCGCGGGCUGCGGGGCUGCUGCUCCCCGGGCUGCGGGCCGCGCUGCACGGACACCCAACACCCACCAACCCCCGCUCCCCGAGCACAACUUGCACUGCGACGAUUAAAACAUAGUAAUUACCACCACAAACACAAACCGUUACGUGUGGGGUUUUUUUUUUCUUCCAUAAAUGCGUCCACGUUUACCUGGGUUCAAUGCUGUGGCAUCCAGCAGCAGUGGAGGAGGAGGAAGAAGAAGAAGGGAAAACAAAGUUGGGGAUAGAUCCGCUCCCGCAGUCCGGUCCGCGGCUCGGCGAGGAGGAGGAGGAGGGAACACGGGAUCAACUACUACUAGCGCUGGCGUCUUCGUCACGGAGCUGAAACCACCUCCCUCGUACGAUUCAGAACUCUUCUACUGGGCCUGGGCUGCUUUUUUUUCUUUUUUUCCUCUCUCAUUUAACAAAACUAUAGCAUUUCAUUUUCCAAGUAGACAUUUUAACAGCCUCCACAUUGUCGGCUCCAAUAAGAUAUCCCUCCGCAGCACAGCGCGCAGCCUACGGGGGUCAUGGACGCUCUCUCUCUCUCACAUCAACGGGUUUCAAUUUCAACUAAAAAGACGGAGAAACAAAACGAUUAAUCCUUGCUCGACGACAAUAUUAAUUUGUUGAGCAACGGUCGCAAACACGGCGAAAUGUCACGGUUUUUGAAGUUGUAAACAAGUCUCGACACGGUCUUAGCGGCAAAUUUAUUGGGGAUCUACGUCUAAUCGCGGAUGAGGACGGUGGAAAGCCCAAACAGAAGAGUGCAGCAGAAGAUGGAACGAUAAUAUCGGAGGGAGGACCAAUCAGAUGCCCCGACAUUUUGAUUGACAGGGCCUUCUCACUUUAGACAAGUCACACACCGCUAUCCUCAUCUUGCCGAGAUGCAGAAGGGUGAACAUCUCAGAACCUGACUGGAGCUGGGGAGGGCUGCUGCAUGAAGACUGAGCCACCUGAGAGCGAUUUCCGACAGCCGAGAAGUCCACAGCACCAUCUGCUGCUUGCUGAGAAGAGAAAGAACGAUACCUGAGUCUCAAAGUCUUAAAUAACACCUGAAAAUGUUGCCAAAUUUGUCGCUAGUUGGUAAAGGGGGUCUUAAAAAACCCUUACACUGACUCAGAGAGGUGUUUAAAAUACUUUUGAGUACACACUCUGGGCCGUAUAGGCCUUAUACAAUUGGCUUUAGUAUUAGGCCUAUGAUUUGAAUGAACUAGCUUUUACCUGCAAGAGUUACAUAAACAAAGUUAUUUUUAUUUAGACAAAAUUAAUCAGGCUAUUCUUACUGAAAU